rnacentral:rRNA from 1 species
GAUAUGGCUCAGGACGAACGCUGGCGGCGUGCUUAACACAUGCAAGUCGAACGGGGCAUAGAGAUAUGCCUAGUGGCGGACGGGUGAGUAACACGUGAGCAACCUAUCCUAUACAACGGGAUAACACAGAGAAAUUUGUGCUAAUACGGUAUAAGACCACACUCCGGCAUCGGAGAGGGGUAAAAGCUGAGGCGGUAUAGGAGGGGCUCGCGGCCCAUUAGCUAGUUGGAGAGGUAACGGCU